UACGGAGGGGGCUAGCGUUGUUCGGAAUUACUGGGCGUAAAGCGCACGUAGGCGGCUUUGUAAGUUAGAGGUGAAAGCCCAGGGCUUAACCCUGGAAUUGCCUUUAAGACUGCAUCGCUAGAAUCGUGGAGAGGUGAGUGGAAUUCCGAGUGUAGAGGUGAAAUUCGUAGAUAUUCGGAAGAACACCAGUGGCGAAGGCGACUCACUGGACACGUAUUGACGCUGAGGUGGCGAAAAGCGUGGGGAG
rnacentral:rRNA from 1 species